rnacentral:rRNA from 1 species
UCGGGAAUUUUGGGCAAUGGGGGAAACCCUGACCCAGCAACGCCGCGUGAAGGAUGAAGUAUUUCGGUAUGUAAACUUCGAAAGAAUAGGAAGAAUAAAUGACGGUACUAUUUAUAAGGUCCGGCUAACUACGUGCCAGCAGCCGCGGUAAUACGUAGGGACCAAGCGUUGUUCGGAUUUACUGGGCGUAAAGGGCGCGUAGGCGGCAUGACAAGUCACUUGUGAAAUCUCUGGGCUUAACCCAGAACGGCCAAGUGAUACUGUCGCGCUAGAGUGCAGAAGGGGCAAUCGGAAUUCUUGGUGUAGCGGUGAAAUGCGUAGAUAUCAAGAGGAACACCUGAGGUGAAGACGGGUUGCUGGGCUGACACUGACGCUGAGGCGCGAAAGCCAGGGGAGCAAACGGGAUUAGAUACCCAUGUAUUCCCUGAGCGGGCUGGCAAGGCGCAU